ensembl:snRNA U6 U6 spliceosomal RNA
GGGCUCGCUUCGGCAGCACAUAGACUAAAAUUGGAAUUAUACAGAGAAGAUUAGCGUGGCCCCUGUGCAAGGAUGACAUGCAAAUUCAUGAAGCGUUCUAUAUUUAA